rnacentral:rRNA from 1 species
UACAGAGACUGCGAGCGUUAUUCGGAUUCACUGGGCGUAAAGGGUGCGCAGGCGGCCAAGUGUGUUAGGCGUGAAAGCCCGAGGCUUAACCUCGGAAUUGCACCUAAAACUACUUGGCUAGAGUACUGGAGAGGGAAACGGAAUUCACGGUGUAGCAGUGAAAUGCGUAGAUAUCGUGAGGAACACCAGAGGCGAAGGCGGUUUCCUGGACAGUUACUGACGCUCAGGCACGAAAGCAUGGGGAGCAAAAGGG